CACGUCAGCGCGACCUGUCGACGUGGAAGGAAAUCGCUUCCUCAAGGACGCGAUUUCCUUCCACGUCGGCAGGUCGCGCUGACGUGG
rfam:Gossypium hirsutum cultivar TM-1 chromosome 24, whole genome shotgun sequence